UAGGGAAUCUUCCACAAUGGACGAAAGUCUGAUGGAGCAACGCCGCGUGAGUGAAGAAGGGUUUCGGCUGUAAAACUCUGUUGUUAAAGAAGAACAUAUCUGAGAGUAACUGUUCAGGUAUUGACGGUAUUUAACCAGAAAGCCACGGCUAACUACGUGCCAG
rnacentral:rRNA from 1 species